CUCAUCUUCACACGUCACAUCCACCAAAUCACAAGAUGAUCACAAUAUUCUGCGCUUUCUUCACUCUUCUGACCUGUGUCAGUGGAGUGACUGUAGUGACUCAGAGUCCAUUAAUCACAGUCAGUAAAGGAACAGAAACGGCUAAAACUGGACUGUAAUCUGGGGACAGUAACUGAUUCUUCUGCUAGAUGGUACAAACAGACUCCAGCAGGAGCUCCUCAGUAUGUGUUAAGAUUUUAUCAUGAGUCGAGCUCAGCUCAGUAUGGAUCUGGUUUCUCUGCUCCUAAAUUCACAUCAACACAUUCAUCUAAAUCAGAUUAUAGUCUGAUCAUCAAUAAUGUGGAUGUUGAUGAUUCUGCAGUGUAUUACUGUCACACAUGGGACAAGACUGCUAAGGAGAAUUCAGUUGUUCACUUCUGUAUGGAAAAUGCUGCCCCUUCCCAAAGUGGAUUUGCUCACUGUAAACAACAGACUAAUUUGCAAAUAAUCUUAAAAACCUCAUCUACAAAUGAACAAUAAUUAAGGAUGAAUGACAUUAUCUGGUUAAAUAGAUGACAAGCAGUUUAUCUUUUAUCUCCGAGCUAGGA